GCUGUUUUGGCCGAGUGGUCUAAGGCGAUGGUUUUAAGUUGAGCGCAAGCUUGAAUAAAACACCAUUAUCGAAAGAUGCGUGAGUUCGAACCUCACAGACAGGU